rnacentral:rRNA from 1 species
CCCUUAGAUGUUCUGGGCCGCACGCGCGCUACACUGACGAAUGCAACGAGCUUAUAACCUUGGCCGAAAGGUCUGGGUAAUCUCCAAAUUUCGUCGUGAUGGGGAUAGAUUAUUGCAAUUAUUAAUCUUCAACGAGGAAUGCCUAGUAAGCGCAAGUCAUCAGCUUGCGUUGAUUACGUCCCUGCCCUUUGUACACACCGCCCGUCGCUCCUACCGAUUGAAUGGUCCGGUGAAGCGUUCGGACCGUGGCCUUUGGACGGUUCGCCGCCUGUUGGCUGCGGGAAGUUCGUUAAACCUUAUCAUUUAGAGGAAGGAGAAGUCGUAACA